rnacentral:snoRNA from 1 species
GAGCAGGAUGGAUCUAAGUAUGAUGUAGCUGCGAAGUGCUGCAUUGUUUUCACCCCCUGCUCAAAAGAAAACUGUGACCUUCCGAGCCCUGCCUGCUGUGGUACCCAAGCAGCAGGGAUGCUUGGUCUCGUACAU